AGGACAAAAUAUAAAGCCGCUAACUUUAAAUAAGCAUCACUGCUCUUGUCCUA
rnacentral:tRNA from 1 species